GUGGGGAAUAUUGCACAAUGGGCGAAAGCCUGAUGCAGCGACGCCACGUGAGGGAUGACGGCCUUCGGGUUGUAAACCUCUUUCAGCAGGGAAGAAGCGCAAGUGACGGUACCUGCAGAAGAAGCGCCGGCUAACUACGUGCCAGCAGCCGCGGUAAUACGUAGGGCGCAAGCGUUGUCCGGAAUUAUUGGGCGUAAAGAGCUCGUAGGCGGUCUGUCGCGUCUGGUGUGAAAUCUCAUGGCUCAACUGUGAGCUUGCAUCGGGUACGGGCAGACUAGAGUGCUGUAGGGGAGACUGGAAUUCCUGGUGUAGCGGUGGAAUGCGCAGAUAUCAGGAGGAACACCGAUGGCGAAGGCAGGUCUCUGGGCAGUUACUGACGCUGAGGAGCGAAAGCAUGGGGAGCGAACAGGA
rnacentral:rRNA from 1 species